CAUGUACUCCCUUCGUCCGAAAAUAUUUGUCAUAUAAAUGGAUGUAUCUAGACGCAUUUUAGUUUUAAAUACAUCCAUUUUUAUUCAUUUCUACGACAAGUAAUUCCGGACGGAGGGAGUAAGUG
rnacentral:pre_miRNA from 1 species